rnacentral:rRNA from 1 species
UAAAACUCAAAGGAAUAGACGGGGACCCGCACAAGCGGUGGAGCAUGUGGUUUAAUUCGACGAUACACGAAGAACCUUACCUGGACUUGACAUAGUAAGAACUUUCUAGAGAUAGAUUGGUGUCUGCUUGCAGAAACUUAUAUACAGGUGCUGCACGGCUGUCGUCAGCUCGUGUCGUGAGAUGUUGGGUUAAGUCCCGCAACGAGCGCAACCCUCGUCAUUAGUUGCUAACAGUUCGGCUGAGAACUCUAAUGAGACUGCCUACGCAAGUAGGAGGAAGGUGAGGACGACGUCAAGUCAUCAUGGCCCUUACGUCCAGGGCUACACACGUGCUACAAUGGGGUAUACAAAGAGCCGCAAUACGGUGACGUGGAGCAAAUCUCAAAAAUAUCUCCCAGUUCGGAUUGUAGUCUGCAACUCGACUACAUGAAGUUGGAAUCGCUAGUAAUCGUAGAUCAGCUAUGCUACGGUGAAUACGUUCCCGGGUCUUGUACUCACCGCCCGUCACACCAUGGGAGUUGAACUCAUUCGAAGCGGGGAUGCUAAAAUAGCUACCUUCCACAGUGGAUUCAGCGACUGGGGUGAAGUCGUAACAAGGUAACC